UAUUAAGGUUAUCUACCCUUUAAUACGGGAUAAAUCCGGUAUAAAUAAAUAAAGAUUAAUUUCGUUAAAGGAUGAGCCUUAAAAGAUUAGGUAGUUGGUUGUAUAAAGGACAACCAAGCCUUCGAUCUUUAGCUGGUUUGAAAGAAUGAUCAGCCACAUUGGGACUGAGACACGGCCCAAACUUGAUAACAAGGCAGCAGUGAGGAAUUUUGGACAAUGGGCGAAAGCUUGAUCCAGCAAUACUAGGUGAGUGAGGAAGGCUAUAUGGUUGUAAAGCUCUUUCAGUAGGGAGGAACAAAG
rnacentral:rRNA from 1 species